ACGGAGGAUGCAAGCGUUAUCCGGAUUCAUUGGGUUUAAAGGGUGCGCAGGCGGAUUGGUAAGUCAGUGGUGAAAUUCAACGGCUCAACUGUUGAUCUGCCAUUGAUACUGUCAGUCUAGAGUAUAGUUGGAGUGGGCGGAAUGUGUCAUGGGGCGGUGACAUGGUUAGAUAUGACACACAACACCGAUCGCGAAGGAAGUUCACUAAGCUAAAACUGGCGUUCAUGCACGAGAGCGUGUGGAUGAAACAG
rnacentral:rRNA from 1 species